AAAAAAUUUAAUUAUAGUUUUAUUGAUUUAUUAUUUGAUUAUAUUUUAUAUAGAAAUUUUUUUGUAUAUUUUUGGGUUAAUUUAGAUAGUUAUUUUUCUUAGAGUUAUUUUAUAGUUAGUGUUGUGAGUUUGAGGAUUUAUGAAGAUAAGAUACAGUAAUUUAGUUAAUUGUAAAUAAAAUUAGUGCCAGCAAUUGCGGUUAAACUAAUUAUAAGAAUGAAUUUUAUUUAAUUUGAUAUGAGUUAAUAAAAAUAUAUUAAUUGUUGUGAUCAUAAUUGAAAUUUUUUAGUGAAAUAUAAAUUUUAAUUAUAAGUUAUUAUUAUUAUUUGAUGAGUUAUAUAUAAAGUAUAGUAAUCUUUAUAAUAAAUUAGGAUUAGAUACCCUAUUAUUAGAGAAUAAAAAGUUAAUAGAUUGAAGUAUUAAAUGAGAAUCAUUAAAUUUAUAUAAUUUGGCGGUAUUUUUUUUAUUAGAGGAACUUGUUUAUUAAAUGAUAAUCCACGAGUAGAUUUACCUAAUUUAAAUAUUUUUAUGUAUUGUUGUUUAGAAUUUAUCAUUAUAGUGAGAAUAUUUUAGAAUUUUAAUUAAAGUGUAAUUCAAAUCAAAAUGUAGAAUAAUUAGGGUUAGAUGAGUUACAGUUUAAUUGUAUAAUUGGAUCUUUUAUAUUAAUAUAAAAGUGAAAUUGGAUUUAAUAGUAAAUUUAUUUAAAUAAAUAAAUUGAAAAGUAAAAAAAAUGUGUACAAAUUGCCCGUCAUUUUCAUUUUGAAAUGAAAAAAGUCGUAACAUAGUAAAUGUACUGGAAAGUGUAUUUAGAUGGCA
rnacentral:ncRNA from 1 species